UCCAGACUCCUACGGGAGGCAGCAGUGGGGAAUAUUGCACAAUGGGGGAAACCCUGAUGCAGCGACGCCGCGUGAGUGAAGAAGUAUUUCGGUAUGUAAAGCUCUAUCAGCAGGGAAGAUAAUGACGGUACCUGACUAAGAAGCCCCGGCUAACUACGUGCCAGCAGCCGCGGUAAUACGUAGGGGGCAAGCGUUAUCCGGAUUUACUGGGUGUAAAGGGUGCGUAGGUGGCAGGGCAAGUCAGAUGUGAAAGCCCGGGGCUCAACCCCGGUACUGCAUUUGAAACUGUCCAGCUGGAGUGCAGGAGAGGUAAGCGGAAUUCCUAGUGUAGCGGUGAAAUGCGUAGAUAUUAGGAGGAACACCAGUGGCGAAGGCGGCUUACCGGACUGUAACUGACACUGAGGCACGAAAGCGUGGGGAGCAAACAGGAUUAGAUACCCCUGUAC
rnacentral:rRNA from 1 species